ensembl:lncRNA
CUUUAAUCUAGCACUAUUCAUGUAGGUUUGGGAAUUAUUUGUCCCAGGGCUGCAAAUGCAUAUACAACAUGAUAUACACACCACAAUAAGUACAGCAUUAAACACAAUAGGGAAAGCAUUAAACUUUCAUUGAAAAUAUAAAAUUACCAAACAGUUGAAGAAACCCGUGGUAAAGACGAUGGGUUUUUACACGGCAUCUCAGCUCUGCAUGUAACCUAAUUCUGCCUCUAGAAAAAAUGUAGUAAAGCUAGUUUUAUGAAUGAGUCGAUUUGCACACAUUGGAAAGAAAAGAAGAAAAAGCUUAAAGUUCUCAACCCAAUUAUCCAAACUUUAAAAGGUUAUCUACAAAUAGGUUGAUAAGCACAGACAUCUCUUUGAGCCCAUUAUACAGAAAUACAUAUUUUAAACUUCCUAUCAUAAAUUUGGCCAUGUGUUAAGUACUACAAACUUUAUUCUUAAAUGACCUUUAAGAAAUCAUGACCUGCCCAUUGCCCCUGAAGGAGCUCGGUCCGGUGCCCCCGCUGCUGCAGUGAGACUGCGUUGAGCGCCAGCUCCCGGCAGCUGGGGAAGCCCUCCGCCGCCAAUCCAGGCUUCCCCGCGCCUUGCGUCACGCCCCCAGGAUGACGUCGAAGGCCACCCUGGCCGGCCACGUGGGCCGCUGCCCCCGAGACCCGCGUGGCAGCAGCGGUGCCCAGCGUGGGGAGCGGAGGGAGCGCGCAGGCUCCUCGGGGCGGUCCUCGAGCCUGACUGGAGCCCGGGUCCUGGCCCAAACUCAGCCGGCCCUGAGGGGUUGAGGGACCGGGACCGCGGAGCGCGACCGCCCCGGGCGCCUCCUCCCCGGCCGGCACCGCGAGGCGCUCUCCGCGCCAGUUCUGCCCCGGGCCCCGCCGCGCUCUCCCGACCCGCCCUCCGCUUCCCAGGACCUUGCUGAGCCCGGCGCACUGCGCGGGAGGGCGCGACAGUGCUGCCCCAGCUGUGCCCGGGACAUCGCCUGCGCCCCGAGCCCCGGUCGCCGGGGUGGUGCGCCCGCGCUCGGUGCCACGUCGGAACUGCCCGGAGCGCGCGGUGAUGGCGCGGGACCCUCCUCCCGGGUCCCGGCGAGCGGAGGAGGGCGGAGCGGGCCCGGGCCGCUGAGCCCCUGGGUCCCCGCCGCGAGGCGCCGGGCUGCUCAGCAUCCUCCCCUCCGCGGGAGCCGGGCAGGGGCACACGCGUCGCCCUCCAGUGGGGGCUCCUGGCCGGCGAGCAGCCCCGAGGACGCUGCGCGGGAGGCCCGUCCGGGAGCGCACACGAGGGCACCCAGCGCUACGGCGGUCGGAGGGGCCGCCCGGCCUCCGGUCUAUGGGAAAGCUCCACUGCGGUGCACCCGGCUUGGUGCGGAGCCUGCGCCGACAGCGUGUGAGGCGCUCGGGCUUCCGCGCGUAACCCCCGGGCGCGGCGGAGCCUACCUUGCUCAGCUGUGCAUGCAGCCGUCCUCAGCUGCCUGCGCGGCCCGGCGGGGCGGGAGCAGUGUCCAGGGCCGAGGUGAUGGAGCUCAGAUGGACUUGAGACGGUCGGCCAGAAAGCAGAGGAAAUUUACAAACAACAUUUAAAAAGUAGGGGCGAGUCUCAGUGUUUGGUUCUCCACCCAGCAAGAGAUUUGACUAAUGUUCUCUUUCUUAUUUCCGUUCCACUUCGGUCUUCUGGUGCUUUUAAAAAUUUAUCUGUGCUUUAAAAAUAAAUUAACUUUUUUGCUCCAGUCCUGUCCGUGAUAACGGCAGAGAGAGAGCGAGAGGGAGAGGGAGGGAGGGGCGAGCCGAGGGCAGAGCGGGGAAAGUCUUCGGCUGGGCCGGUCCAGUCCCGGGCUCAGGGGGCUGCGAGGCCCGGCCGGCUGAAGCCUCCGGACGCCGGCCGCUCGCUCCGUCCGCGCCCGCCGCGUGAGGGUCCUGGGCGGCCGGUGGGGUGGAGAUUGCUUGGCUCCGACGAUUGCCAACCUGUGAGACCCCAGAGGCUUCGAAGCUUCGAGCUUCCAGCCUGGAGCAGCGUUGUGCAGUGCUGUGUCUUAGUACCCUGCGAGAGUCCCGAUGCUCAUGGCUCAAGCAACGAGGACACUCAAUUACAGGGAAACUGUCACAUGCAAAAAAGAGUUCUAGCAGCAAGAACAGGAAUAUGAGCAGCGGUCCUGUCACGCGAAGUAUGACUACAGGAAAGAGUAGGACUGUGAACAGCACGGACUUCCCAACUCCUCUUCGCCUUGCAUGUUCAGGUAGUUUAAAAGUCUUGAUUGUGGUCGUGAUUAAGUAUCCAUGUUAGUGAAGGCUGAAGCUCUUUGAAAAUCUUGUAACUUAUUCAGACCUUGGAAACAAUCAUUCCAAACUUUGAUUCUAUGAAUUGGACUAUUUAAAAAUGCAUCAUUUAAGUGUAAUCAUGCAGUUGACCUACUCAUGUGGGCGUAAGGCUUCUUACAUUUUUAAAGAGUUGUUCUGUGACUAACAUGCAAUAUGUCCUUGGGAAAAACCCACAUGAACCUGAGAAGAAUGUGCAUUCUGCUGCUGCUGGAAUAAUGUUCUGUAUGCAUGCAUCAUUACCAUUUGGUCUGGAGUGUAUUAUGCAGCACUCUGAGAAGGUAAAAAAGGUGCAUCCCCAUCUUCAUCAGGGGAGCAAAAUUGCCAUGUUUUCCACUUCGCCACAUUGACAUCUGAGGGAGGCUCUGCUAUUCCUGGGUGCAGGUCGAACUCUGGCUCGUCCUUUGAUUUCCACUGCUGUGCCCCAGCUGUCACGAGUGUGUUAAUGCAGCCUGUGUGUCCUGCACUGACACAGCAGCUGGAGGCAGUGGGAAAGCCCUGGAUCCCUGCAUGCCUCAUGGACCUCAUCCCAGGGUGGAGUAGGACUAGUGCCUCAUGACUGCAGCUGGACGGAAGCUCUGGUUUCCCUGAGUCUCCUUGAUGUCUCAGAGCUCUGAGGUCUUCUCACAAGCAGACAGACAGUGCUGGUUUCCUCUUCCCUCUCUGACACCACUGAGGGCAGCUGAUGACGGUGACAAUCCAGGCUCCUCGCUGAAGCUUUGCUCUGGGCAGGGUGGCACCACAGCCUGUUCUGCAGUGUUUGGCUGGAGUAGAGCAGAGUCUGUCUCCAAGUUCGCUGUCUUGCUGGGCGGCCCCUUCGGUGAGCUGCUGGCUGAAGAGAAAAGGCUUCCAGGAGGCAUUGCUGUGGUUGUCUGCACUUGUUGGCAUUUCUGGGUGGCCACGUUCUUCACUGCAUAUGCGAGGUUUAUAAAGCAAAAAGAAAAUCCCAGGAGACUCACCACUGUGUCAUUGCUUAAAUCCCAAGGUCUCGAGCCAAUCUGCCUUCUAUUCUUCACAUUUCAAGGCCUUCUUAUCUCUGUCUCCUGUGUAAUUUUCAAGGUUUUUAGUUGUGCUCAGUAGAAGAAAUAAGGAAAAGCAUAUCUGCUUCCCCCCUCCCCUGUGAGAACUAAUGUGAUUACUUGCUUUCGUAAAGUCUACAUAACUUAACAAAACAUACUGUAUGGGGAAGAUAAUAGAUCUGUAAAAUCUAAUUGUGUUUGAAAUAAUUCCUAUCAAAUUAGGUCAGAAAGACAAACUAAAAAAUCGAAAGCUUCUGCAAUGGGAUUGCAUUUCAAGUGUCUCUAGAUUCUCACAAAACCCCAGGGAAAUCAUAAUUGGAAAUUAAAGAAGUUGGACUAAUCUUAUGGCAGAAGAGACAGAUGGUACUAAUUAGGGGACAUGAGCCUGUGUCCCUUUCCUUACCAAUGCCAUAACUGUAUAUUAAAAGAUAGAAAAAUUACUGCAUACAUAUGUGUACAGUUGAAACAUAAUAUAUUUAAAGUUAACUUUUAACUCUUGACAGGGAAGAAAUGGAAGGUGCUCAUUUUCAAUGCAGUGCUAGAACUUGACUUCCCACUUUCAGGGAUAUUCCUUUCAAUUAGAUAAGCCAGGAAAGUUAAGACACCUGUAGAAAGUUUUGAAUUUUCAACAAGACUUAGAUAAUGACUGCCUAAACUCUGCAUGUCUGACUGAACUAGAAAAGCCAAUGUGCAGAGCAACUCUAGCUUAGCAUCAAUGUGCUGCACAUCACUUUAAAGUGUGCCUCCAAUGGGAAUGUGGUCAUUGUUUGCACAUGUGCACACUCACUGUCACACACACAUGAAGAUCCUUUGGGAAACACAGCUCACCAAGCCUUGCACCUGCACUUCUGGGUGGCAGUAACCUGACAUUGGAACCACUGUGAUGGGGAUGUCAUUUUCCAUUCUCUCUGGACAGCAGAACAGAUGCUGUCUUGGACUUCAAAGAGAUUUGACUACUCUCUGAGUUUCAAUAAUGAACAACAACUUUUCACAGCCUAGUUUUCAAAAAGUGUAACAAAAUAUACAAAGGGAAAAGAUCAAGGAAGAAUUCAUCGGUCUUUCCUUUCUGAAAUCUUUUGAGGGACAGAAAGGAAGUCAAACUAAAAACAUUUGAUCUUUCCCAGGAACCUGGGCUGGACUGUAUUUAUUGGUUUUCAAAUCAGAUGGUUUACUCUAUGGCCUGAGAUCACGGUAAAGGGCCCAAGUGUAUAAUGAGAAGAUUGGCUUUGGGAGAUCAUUUGUAUAGAUACAUAUAUGUUAAAAGAUAUGUAUAAAAAUAGAAAACCCAGUUGGUGCUAAACAUGUCCCUUUUCUGUGCUUUUCUUUUGCUAGCUUAUCUAAUACUAGCUCUUGAAUUUAGCUUACAUAAUACAAUUGCAAGACAGUAAUAAAAAAAGACUCAAUAGUUUUGAGUAUUCUGAUAUGCAGGUAAGUUCUAGAAAGAAUAUAGACAAGUGUUCUAACCAAAAAAAUUAAGAAUAUUUCCAACACUGUUAGAAAAUUUGUAAUUGACUGAUAUAAUUCAAGAUUUUUAAAAAUCAGGAUAAUGUUUUUUUGUUAAUACCGUACCACAAUUACAAAUAUCUUCAAGAGAAGCAGGUAAAGAUUUGAGUUCUAAGUCUGCCAAACAUCACUCUGGGAGGCUGAUGUAGCAGGAUUGCAAGCUUGUGCCAGCCUGGGCAACUUAGCCACUCAGUGAGAUCCUGACUCAAAAUGUUUAAAAAUGAGAAUGAGUUGGACAUGUAGCUCAGUGAGGCCUUGGGAUCAAUGCCUAGUACUGGAAAAAAAAUCUGUGGAAGCUCAGUGGGAGAAAAUUAAUUCUAUUGGAUUGGCAUAAAAUAUGAAAACCUAUACAAGAAAUUGAACUAUUAUUGUUUCAUUAAUUUUUCAUAAAUUUUCUUUUCUAGUCUUUUAUUUCUUCCUGUGUCAUUUUCUCUCUUUUUGGUGAAAUUGAAACAGUACUCCCUUAAGAUUAUUUGUAGGGAUGCCCCUCAAGUACUUUUAUCUGCGAGGCCCUGCUUCAGGCAAAUCACAAACUAUCACAGUCAGUGGUGAGGCAAAAGUCGAAGGGCCUCACUGGUGUAUGUUUUUUAGCCUUACUCUUCCUAAUCAGUAUGUAUGUCUUACAUACCUUAACAUUUGUUUUAAGUAUACAAUUCACUGAUGUUUAGUGAUUUACCAAGUUGUACAACUAUUACCAGAGUCCAGUUAUAAAACGUUUCCUUCAUCCUAAAGAAAAGAUUCUAGAUGUUUGAAAUCAUAGGAGGGUAUUUCUGCACAAACACUGCAUACUAUCUAAUGAUCUCAUAGUGUGUACCAACAUCCUCAGCAUAGCUGAGAUAUCAGGCAGCUCUGAAACAUCAGUAUUGCCAUGUUGAAUCAGAUAAAUGCUCACCUCACCCUAAACAGAAUAAAGUAAUAAAACAAAGUAAUAAAAUCUGUAAGUAGCUUCUGUUUGAGUCAGAUUUGGCCUAUAAAGGAGCUCAGGUAGAGACAUCCAAUGAACUAGGAAAUGAUUUCAGUGUUUCGUUUUGAAAUUCCAAGUAACGUAUUAACCUGAAAUACUCCUUGUGAGAAUUUAAGAGUAAGUAAGGUGGUUAACAUAGCGCCAAAUACUCGGCCAACCAACUCUCUCGCUCUCCCACCCCCUAUCUCCCUCCGUGUGAUAGAGCUUGCAGAACAGUUUACAGAGUACUGUCUAUGUGGCCAGGGGCCCUCAUCCCCAGAUCUUCUGCCUUAUUAACUGGUGUUAAGAUAUUAGAGCAAAAUGGGAGCUGAUAUUUACUCAUUCUUAUAAAUCAGGCACUGUUCCUAAUAAUUUUCAUGUGCAUUAAUUCGGUCCUUAUAUCUGUCCUGUGAACCAGAUAGGCAUCAUCAUUUCCCGUUGCACAGAUAACAGUGUAUUGUAUCAGAUUGCUUUGGCUCAUAGAGCAGGGGAGGGUGGAAAGGAGCCUCAGAGUCAGGCACUCUGACCUCGCACCCACCUCCCAGUCCCAGGCUCUUACCUGGCAGGAAUGUGGCUUCAACUCUAGGUGGGCACUGGUGCCCUAAUUCUGAAAUACAGAAAGAACAAAACUGUGUAUCUGAAUUUACUUGAUGUUGCAAACUCUUAAUGUUUUAGAACUACAAAAGAUUGUAGUGUUUACAUAAUCCAAAUUAAUAUUUUAAACUAAAGGAAAUAAGAUCUUUAGUUAAGGAAAAAAACCUCAAGACCUCAGGAUAUCAAGCAACUUAAGGUCAGACAAAUAAUGGAAGACUAAAUUCUAGAUCCACUAGUUCCUUGACAAACACUCCUUGUUGAAUCCCGAAACAUCAUCUAAUGAAAUUAUACAUAUGGUCAAAUAAUAAUGGUCAAACAGAGUAAUCCAAAUUUUGUGUUUGGGGAGUAAAUAAUAAUGCAUCACUGCAUAAUUGUUUGAUAUUCUGUAAUAAAAGAGGUAUAGAGAAGACAGAGGUAUGGAGUGGAUCUAUUGUAGAGAGAGGUACAUAGUAGAGUAGAUAUGGAGUAGAUAAUGGAAGAAUUGAGCACAACCCGGUGUAUGGAAACAUCGAGAGCAGAGUAAUUAAUUCCUCUGUGACUAUAUGACACAAAUAGAAAAAAGAAAACACAGAAGAGGCACCUUCUGAACUGGCUCUGGUAGAUGCAUAGAACUGCCUUGAAGACAAAGAGGAAGGCGGGCUGCAUCGAGGACGCUUGUCGGUCUGGUGGCUGGUCCAGCAAGCAGACCCACGGGAAGGUGCCCAGGCCCUGCACUGGCGAUCUUCUGCAGCCAGAAGUUCCUGUGAUCAGCCUAAGACUGCAGACACGUUUUCGCAGUAAGAAUCUCGAGCCUUACAUGCCGACGGUGCUUUGUUUAGCUGCAGUUUCAGAACCCUAAAGCUCUUUAUUGCUUCUGUGGGCACUUAGGAGAUACUUUCAAUUCUUUUGGCUUCUUUGAUUUCUUCUAAUGAAGCGAGAGUAAGACAGGACCCUUGUACCUCUCUUUGAGUCACACUAUCCUGGUAUAGUCUCUGGAUCAGAGUAGAAACUUAAUGUAAAUAUUUUAACAAAAAAUGUUUAUUGGGCACAACAUACAGCAUUUUAUGUGCAUUUUUGUUUUAAUUCUAACAUUAGCCCUAUGAAAAGAUACCAAGAUUAGUCCAGAGAACUGAAAUUUAGAGACUGAGAGCAAGCUGUUUAAUGUGUAGACUUCCAACAAAACACAGACUCAUGUUGUCUACCUGCCUUUAACAUUUUCAAAAUGUGCUGGUCAUUUAUUAUUAUUUUCAUGACGUUACUGGCUCAUAAUUUUCUCAGUGUAAGAUAUAUUUUAUGUGAACUGAUACAGAAUUUCAAGGUGCCAUGUUUGUAUGGGAUGGAAAAUCAGGAAAAGUCAACAUGUUUUUCAAGAAAAUUAAAAAAUAUAAUACAAA